UCAAGCUACUAAGGGCACAUGGGGAAUGCCUUGGCGCCAGAAGCCGAAGAAGGACGUAGCAAGACUGCGAUAAGCCCCGAUUAGCUGCCUAGCGAGCUUACUCGGGGAUUUCCGAAUGAGGGAACUCAUCUACUUCGGUAGUUGCCCUAGUCGUGAGACUUGGGCGGUAAGCAGGGGAACUGAAACAUCUAAGUACCCUGAGGAAAGUAAAUCAACCGAGACUCCCCUAGUAGCGGCGAGCGAACGGGGAUCAGCCCAAACCACAUGAGCCUAACGGACUGGAGUCCUAUGCCUUUGUGGUGUUGUAGGGCCAGACAUGAGACCUCUCCAGAGGUCCCGAAGAGUUACAAAAUAUACAUCUAAUCGAACAGUCCUGGAACGGCUGGCCGUAGCGGGUGAAAGCCCCUUAGAUGAAAGGUGUGUAUCUCUUAGUUUGGUUCCUGAGUACGACGGGACACGUGAAAUCUUGUCGGAAUCUGGGGGGACCACCCUCCAAGGCUAAGUACUUUUGGCGACCGAUAGUGAACAAGUACCGUGAGGGAAAGGUGAAAAGCACCCCGUGAGGGGAGUGAAAUAGAACUGAAACCAUGUGCCUACAAACCGUAGGAGUUCCAAUUCGUUGGAAUGACUGCGUGCCUAUUGAAGAAUGAGCCAACGAGUUACGUUACGUGGCAGGUUAAGGCGUGAUGCGCCGGAGCCGAAGCGAAAGCGAGUCUGAAUAGGGCAAUUCAGUCGCGUGGCGUAGACCCGAAACCGUGUGAGCUACCCUUGGCCAGGUUGAAGCGAAAGUAAUAUUUCGUGGAGGACCGAACCCUUGUAAGUUACAAAUUGCUGGGAUGAGCUGAGGGUAGGGGUAAAAUGCCAAUCGAACACGGAGAUAGCUGGUUCUCCCCGAAAUGCAUUUAGGUGCAGCGUCAAGUUUUACUUUGCGGAGGUAGAUCACUGGAUGGGCUAGGGGGCGUGAGCUUACCAACCCCAACCAAAAUCCGAAUACCGUAAAGGGUAUCUUGGCAGUGAGACAGUGAAGGAUAAGCUCCAUUGUCGAAAGGGAAACAGCCCAGAUCGCAAUCUAAGGUCCCGAAGUGUGUGCUAAGUGUGAAACGAAGUGGGAACGCCCAGACAGCCAGGAGGUUGGCUUAGAAGCAGCCAUCCUUUAAAGAGUUCGUAACAGAUCACUGGUCAAGGGUUUCCGCACGGAAAAUAAACGGGGCUUAAGCACACCACCGAAGCUGCGGAUCUAUUCCAUUUAUUUGGAGUGGGUGGUAGGGGAGCGUUCUCAAUGCGCCGAAGUCAGGCUGUAAGGCCUGGUGGAGCGUUGAGAAGUGAGUAUGUUGGCAUAAGUAGCGACAAUGUCGGUGAGAAUCCGACACGCCGAAAGUCUAAGGUUUCCUACGCAACGCUGAUCGACGUAGGGUUAGGCGGGCCUAAGGUGUAGCCGAAGGCGAAGCCGAUGGACAGCAGGUCAAAAUUCCUGCCCCGUCUUAAACUUGUUUGAACUAUGGAGGGGACGCGGACUGAUAAGUAACGCAUGCCUAUUGGAUAUGGUGUGUGCAUUUCUGUAAGUGAGUGACGGGAGGUAAAAAGCUCGUCAUGUUUGACCCGAGGGACGUGCGAACCAUGAGGUUAUCCUCAGGGGAACGUUGCCGAUUCUAUGCCGCCUAGAAAAGCCUCGAUAAUUAGAGUUUAAGUCGUCCGUACCGCAAACCGACACUGGUAGACAGGGAUAAAUGUCCCAAGGCGUUCGAGACAACCAUCGUUAAGGAACUCGGCAAAUUAACCCCGUAACUUCGGAAGAAGGGGAGCCUCUGAUGUACUAGGACUUGCUCCGAAAGCAUUGGUGGCCGCAGAGAAUAGGUUCGAGCGACUGUUUAUCAAAAACACAGGUCCGUGCUAAACCGAAAGGUGAUGUAUACGGGCUGACGCCUGCCCAGUGCCGGUAGGUUAAGGGAGGAGGUGAGAGCUUCCGACCGAAGCCCCGGUGAACGGCGGCCGUAACUAUAACGGUCCUAAGGUAGCGAAGUCCCUUGUCGGGUAAGUUCCGACCCGCACGAAUGGCGUAACGACUUGAACACUGUCUCAACGAUGGACUCGGUGAAAUUGCAGGACCCGUAAAGAUGCGGGUUACGCGCAGCAGGACAAAAAGACCCCGUGGAGCUUUACUGCAGCUUGACAUUGGUUCGAGCUUUAACCUGUGUAGGAUAGGCGGGAGACUAUGAAUUAGAUGCGCCAGCAUUUAAGGAGUCGCCCUUGAAAUACCGCCCUGAUUACAGUUUGAAUCUAACUUUUACUAGAACAGUGUCUGGUGGGCAGUUUGACUGGGGCGGUCGCCUCCCAAAGAGUAACGGAGGCGCACAAAGGUCACCUCAGGCUGGAUGGAAAUCAGCCUUAGAGCGUAUUGGUAUAAGGUGGCUUGACUGCGAGACAUACAAGUCGAGCAGGGACGAAAGUCGGUCAAAGUGAUCCCACGGUACCGUGUGGAAAGGGGGCCGUGGCUUAACGGAUAAAAGCUACCCCGGGGAUAACAGGCUUAUCUCGCCCAAGAGUCCGUAUCGACGGCGAGGUUUGGCACCUCGAUGUCGGCUCGUCGCAUCCUGGGGCUGAAGAAGGUCCCAAGGGUCGGGCUGUCCGCCCUUUUAAAGCGGCACGGGGAGCUGGGUUCAGAGCGUCGUGAGACAGCUCGGUCUCUAUCCGCUGUGCGCGAAAGAUAUUUGAGGGGAUCUAUUUCUAGUACGAGAGGACCGAAAUGGACGAAUCUCUGGUGUGCCGGUUGGGGACGCCAGUCGCAUUGCCGGGUAGCUACAUUCGGAAGGGAUAAACGCUGAAAGCAUCUAAGUGUGAAGCCCACCCCAAGAUUAGAUAUCUCAUCUUGUUAAGAGAGUAAGACCUCCGGUAGACCACCGGUUAGAUAGGCCACGUGUGUAAGCGCAGUAAUGUGUUGAGCUAAGUGGUACUAAUUGGUCGAGGGCUUGAC
rnacentral:rRNA from 1 species